GACGAACGCUGGCGGCGUGCUUAACACAUGCAAGUCGAACGGAAAGGCCUGCUUUCCCUUGUGGAUUGCGGGUACUCGGGUGGCGAACGGGUGAGUAACACGUGAGUGAUCUGCCCCCAACUUGGGUAUAAGCCUGGGAAACUGGGUCUAAUUCCCGAUAGGACUGCAGGGUUGUGCCUUUGGUGGAAAACGAUUUUCUAGUGGUUGGGGAUGAGCUCGCGGCCUAUCAGCUUGUUGGUGGGGUAAUGGCCUACCAAGGCGGGGACGGGUAGCCGGCGUGGGAGGGUGGACGGCCACACUGGGACUGGGAUCCGGCCCAGACUGGUAGGGGAGGCAGGAGUUGGGAAUAUUGGACAGUGAGCGGGAGCGUGAAGCAGCGAGGGCGCGUGGGAGAUGACGGCAUUCGGGUUGUAAACUACUUGCGAAGGAGAGGAGGCCAAGUGGUUGGAAGGGUGGUGACGGUAGUGGUAGAAGAAGCACCGGCUAACUACGUG
rnacentral:rRNA from 1 species